CUGACAUGUGUGCGAGUCA
rnacentral:sRNA from 1 species